UGGGGAAUUUUGCACAAUGGGGGAAACCCUGAUGCAGCGACGCCGCGUGAUUUAGAAGGCCUUCGGGUUGUAAAAAUCUUUUUUACGGGAUGAAAAUGACAGUACCGUAAGAAUAAGGUCCGGCUAAAUACGUGCCAACAGCCGCGGUAAUACGUAUGGACCGAGCGUUGUCCGGAAUCAUUGGGCGUAAAGGGUACGUAGGCGGCCUAGUAAGUUAGAAGUGAAAUAAUAUAGCUCAACUAUAUAAAGCUUUUAAAACUGCUAGGCUUGAGAGAUGGAAGGGAAAGUGGAAUUCCUAGUGUAGCGGUGAAAUGCGCAGAUAUUAGGAAGAAUACCGGUGGCGAAGGCGACUUUCUGGUCAUCAUCUGACGCUGAGGUACGAAAGCGUGGGUAGCAAACAGG
rnacentral:rRNA from 1 species